GGAAUACUUUUCCACCUUCUGGGAUUCUAUAAAUUGGCUACAUCUAUUAGCAAUGUGAUAGAACAUAACCACUUACAUUAUUUUAGAACACAAAAAAGAAGUGAUGGAGAAGAAAACACUUGCUAGCUUGUGCUUCUUUCUCAUUGUUCUCUUAGCUGCUCAAGAAGCAGUGGUGCAAAUUGAGGCUUGUGAGAAACCAAGUAAAUUCUUCAGUGGUGCAUGUAUUGGUUCAUCUGGCAACCAACAAUGUGGUUAUCUUUGCAGGAGAGGAGAAGGCUUACUCAGUGGUUCUUGCAAAAAUCUGAAAUGUGUUUGUGCUUGUUGAACAUCUCCACUAUGAGAUGUAUACAUAAAUAAAUAAUCUAGCUAUAGUAUGUUCAUAGCUAGAUUAUGUUCAUGAAAUAAAUCGUUGAUUAAUUCCCUUCCCUUUAGUGAGAAGAGAAUUAAUUAACAUAUGGAGUAAUAUGUGUGACAAGAUAGCAUGUUUGUCUUAUUAAAUAAAAUGUGUUAAUUAUGAUUGUAGUGUUA